rnacentral:rRNA from 1 species
ACUCCUACGGAAGGCAGCAGUGGGGAAUAUUGGACAAUGGGCGCAAGCCUGAUCCAGCCAUGCCGCGUGAGUGAUGAAGGCCCUAGGGUUGUAAAGCUCUUUCACCGGUGAAGAUAAUGACGGUAACCGGAGAAGAAGCCCCGGCUAACUUCGUGCCAGCAGCCGCGGUAAU